AGAGUUUGAUCCUGGCUCAGGAUGAACGCUGGCGGCGUGCCUAAUACAUGCAAGUCGAGCGAACGGACGAGAAGCUUGCUUCUCUGAUGUUAGCGGCGGACGGGUGAGUAACACGUGGAUAACCUACCUAUAAGACUGGGAUAACUUCGGGAAACCGGAGCUAAUACCGGAUAAUAUUUUGAACCGCAUGGUUCAAAAGUGAAAGACGGUCUUGCUGUCACUUAUAGAUGGAUCCGCGCUGCAUUAGCUAGUUGGUAAGGUAACGGCUUACCAAGGCAACGAUGCAUAGCCGACCUGAGAGGGUGAUCGGCCACACUGGAACUGAGACACGGUCCAGACUCCUACGGGAGGCAGCAGUAGGGAAUCUUCCGCAAUGGGCGAAAGCCUGACGGAGCAACGCCGCGUGAGUGAUGAAGGUCUUCGGAUCGUAAAACUCUGUUAUUAGGGAAGAACAUAUGUGUAAGUAACUGUGCACAUCUUGACGGUACCUAAUCAGAAAGCCACGGCUAACUACGUGCCAGCAGCCGCGGUAAUACGUAGGUGGCAAGCGUUAUCCGGAAUUAUUGGGCGUAAAGCGCGCGUAGGCGGUUUUUUAAGUCUGAUGUGAAAGCCCACGGCUCAACCGUGGAGGGUCAUUGGAAACUGGAAAACUUGAGUGCAGAAGAGGAAAGUGGAAUUCCAUGUGUAGCGGUGAAAUGCGCAGAGAUAUGGAGGAACACCAGUGGCGAAGGCGACUUUCUGGUCUGUAACUGACGCUGAUGUGCGAAAGCGUGGGGAUCAAACAGGAUUAGAUACCCUGGUAGUCCACGCCGUAAACGAUGAGUGCUAAGUGUUAGGGGGUUUCCGCCCCUUAGUGCUGCAGCUAACGCAUUAAGCACUCCGCCUGGGGAGUACGACCGCAAGGUUGAAACUCAAAGGAAUUGACGGGGACCCGCACAAGCGGUGGAGCAUGUGGUUUAAUUCGAAGCAACGCGAAGAACCUUACCAAAUCUUGACAUCCUUUGACAACUCUAGAGAUAGAGCCUUCCCCUUCGGGGGACAAAGUGACAGGUGGUGCAUGGUUGUCGUCAGCUCGUGUCGUGAGAUGUUGGGUUAAGUCCCGCAACGAGCGCAACCCUUAAGCUUA
rnacentral:rRNA from 2 species